GGAUUUGAUGUAAAAUACAUCAAUUCAUUUAAAGGUCGGGGUGUGUUCAGCUGCCAGUGCUUUCAAAAAGGAGAUUUCCUUAUUGAGUGCAGAGGGGAAGUCAUAAGUAGGAAGGAACAAGAAAACCGAUUGAAAAUUUACCAUGAUGCACUCCAGGCUUUUAUGUUUGAUUUCAAGUUCAAUGGACAACAGCUUUGAUUUCCAAAGAUGAAUUGUGUCAGGCUGGUGAUGUGGAAACAUGCGGAUCCUGUUCAACCAACCCUCCAGAGAUUUCCAAAAAGGAACCGUAUCAGGCUGGUGACGUGGAUGCAUGGGGAUCCUUUUUAACCAACCCUCCUGAGCACAAAGUAAACACAGAUGGUAAGGGGAAAGAGCUCAACA